rfam:Xenopus tropicalis strain Nigerian Chr02_contig_3659, whole genome shotgun sequence.
ACAAAGGCUCUUUUCAGAGCCCCCAAAUCCGCAAUCAAACGAGCUG